CGGGGUGAGUAACGCGUGGGUAACCUACCCUGUACAGGGGGAUAACAGUCAGAAAUGACUGCUAAUACCGCAUAAGACCACAGCACCGCAUGGUGCAGGGGUAAAAACUCCGGUGGUACAGGAUGGACCCGCGUCUGAUUAGCUGGUUGGUGAGGUAACGGCUCACCAAGGCGACGAUCAGUAGCCGGCUUGAGAGAGUGAACGGCCACAUUGGGACUGAGACACGGCCCAA
rnacentral:rRNA from 1 species